GCCUAGUUAGCUUAGUUGGUUGUAAGCCCUAGGCCGCGGGUUCGAUUCCCGCCCGGGGCA
rnacentral:tRNA from 1 species